CGUUGUUCGUCUCGCGGCCCACCGACACACCACGAGGCUCCUAUAGCUCAUUAAUAAACUGUCGGCUCUCAAAUUAAUUGCAAACUUCUAAAUUCAGGUGUGACGACGCGGGCCCACUCGGAUCACCGAGGCUCAAAGGGAGCCGAACGAGGCGGGCGUUGACCUUAACAGGAUCAGCGGCGUAUGGAAAUAUUCAUCACGUUACGGGGUGACCGUACGGCUCGUGCCACGUGGUUUGACAGACAGCCAACAAUUAGCAGCUCAUAAUCCACAGCGCAGUGACUGUUUCCUGCUUCAGCUGCUCUCAUCAGGUGUGCUCCGGGUUACAGGUGCAGCAGCGCCGAGUCCGCCAGCGUGCACGUCCACGGGCCCCGAAAAGUCUGACCGGAAGCUCUCUCUAAUGGUCAUGUGUAAUGAUACCUGCAGCAGGUGGACGGAAGCAACGCGUACAGGAGCUCAGUGUGCGGAGGAAGCAUCACGUCGUUUACACAAGCAAACGCGUUUAUGUGUUGUUACCUAAACUUAUAUACAAAUACACGCAUGUUGUACUUUUA